rnacentral:rRNA from 1 species
AUUGAACGCUGGCGGCAUGCCUUACACAUGCAAGUCGAACGGUAACGGGCCUUCGGGUGCCGACGAGUGGCGAACGGGUGAGUAAUAUAUCGGAACGUGCCCAGUAGUGGGGGAUAGCCCGGCGAAAGCCGGAUUAAUACCGCAUACGACCUGAGGGUGAAAGCGGGGGAUCGCAAGACCUCGCGCUAUUGGAGCGGCCGAUAUCAGAUUAGCUAGUUGGUGGGGUAAAGGCCUACCAAGGCAACGAUCUGUAGUUGGUCUGAGAGGACGGCCAGCCACACUGGGACUGAGACACGGCCCAGACUCCUACGGGAGGCAGCAGUGGGGAAUUUUGGACAAUGGGCGCAAGCCUGAUCCAGCAAUGCCGCGUGCAGGAAGAAGGCCUUCGGGUUGUAAACUGCUUUUGUCAGGGAAGAAAUCUUCUGGGUUAAUACCUCGGGAGGAUGACGGUACCUGAAGAAUAAGCACCGGCUAACUACGUGCCAGCAGCCGCCGUAACAC